rnacentral:rRNA from 1 species
CGGUGUAGGAGUGAAAUCCGUAGAUAUCGCCAGGAACACCAAUGGCGAAGGCAGCUUACUGGGCCAUUUCUGACGCUAAGGCACGAAAGCGUGGGGAGCGAACCGGAUAAGAUACCCGGGUAGUUCACGCCGUAAACGAUGGAUGCUAGCUGCUUGAGCGUAUCGACCCGCUUGGGUAGCGAAGCUAACGCGUUAAGCAUCCCGCCUGGGGAGUACGGCCGCAAGGCUAAAACUCAAAGGAAUUGACGGGGACCCGCACAAGCGGUGGAGCGUGUGGUUUAAUUCGACGCCACGCGAAGAACCUUACCAAGGCUUGACAUCCUGCGAAGUUUGUCGAAAGACAGAUGUGCCUUUUGGAACGCAGUGACAGGUGAUGCAUGGCCGUCGUCAGCUCGUGUCGUGAGAUGUUGGGUUAAGUCCCUUAACGAGCGCAACCCUUGUCGCAAGUUGUAUUUAUCUUGCGAGACUGCCUCGGCAACGGGGAGGAAGGAGGGGUCGAAGUCAGGUCAGCAUGUCCCUUACGCCUUGGGCUACACACACGCUACAAUGGCCGGUACAAUGGGCAGCUAAGCCGCGAGGCGGAGCUAAUCCCACCAAAACCGGUCUCAGUUCGGAUUGCAGGCUGCAACUCGCCUGCAUGAAGCUGGAAUCGCUAGUAACUGCAGGUCAGCACAUGCGGUGAAUACGUUC